UUUAAAGGCUGUUUUGUAGUUUAAAGGCUGUUUUUGUAGUUUAAAGGCUGUUUUGUAGUUCAAAGGCUGUUCUGUAGUUUAAAGGCUGUUUUGCAGUUCAAAGGCUGUUCUGUAGUUUAAAGGCUGUUUUAUAGUUCAAAGGCUGUUCUGUAGUUUAAAGGCUGUUUUGCAGUUUAAAGGCUGGUUUUGUAUUGAAAGGCUGUUUUGCAGUUUAAAGACUGUUUUGUAGUUCAAAGGCUGUUCUGUAGUUUAAAGGCUGUUUUGCAGUUUAAAGGCUGGUUUUGUAUUGAAAGGCUGUUUUGCAGUUUAAAGACUGUUUUGUAGUUCAAAGGCUGUUCUGUAGUUUAAAGGCUGUUUUGCAGUUUAAAGGCUGGUUUUGUAGUUAAAGGCUGUUUUGUAGUUUAAAGGCUGUUUUUGUAGUUUAAAGGCUGUUUUGUAGUUCAAAGGCUGUUCUGUAGUUAAAGGCUGUUUUGCAGUUUAAAGACUGUUUUGUAGUUUAAAGGCUGUUUUGUAGUUCAAAGGCUGUUCUGUAGUUUAAAGGCUGUUUUGCAGUUUAAAGGCUGGUUUUGUAGUUUAAAGGCUGUUUUGUAGUUCAAAGGCUGUUCUGUAGUUUAAAGGCUGUUUUGCAGUUUAAAGGCUGGUUUUGUAUUGAAAGGCUGUUUUGCAGUUUAAAGACUGUUUUGUAGUUCAAAGGCUGUUCUGUAGUUUAAAGGCUGUUUUGCAGUUUAAAGGCUGGUUUUGUAGUUAAAGGCUGUUUUGUAGUUUAAAGGCUGUUUUUGUAGUUUAAAGGCUGUUUUGUAGUUCAAAGGCUGUUCUGUAGUUAAAGGCUGUUUUGCAGUUUAAAGACUGUUUUGUAGUUUAAAGGCUGUUUUGUAGUUCAAAGGCUGUUCUGUAGUUUAAAGGCUGUUUUGCAGUUUAAAGGCUGGUUUUGUAGUUUAAAGGCUGUUUUGUAGUUCAAAGGCUGUUCUGUAGUUUAAAGGCUGUUUUGCAGUUUAAAGGCUGGUUUUGUAGUUAAAGGCUGUUUUGUAGUUUAAAGGCUGUUUUUGUAGUUUAAAGGCUGUUUUGUAGUUCAAAGGCUGUUCUGUAGUUAAAGGCUGUUUUGCAGUUUAAAGACUGUUUUGUAGUUUAAAGGC